CAGCCCCGCCCCCCUCCCCAGGGACGAGGUCGCCGGGGAGACCAGCGCCCCGGUUCCCCUGACAACCGGUGCCUAGGGCCUGGCUUUUAGAGUUCUGGCUAACCAGAAGCUCAGGUUGAUAGCCGGGCGGCCAAGUCCCUAGCCCCUGCACGGUGGACUCCUACUUUUAGGCCAAGCCGAAAACGCCGCCGACCGCCCCCGCGCUUCCAACUUCAGAAACAGAACUUUAUGGCCCUGGGGAGUGUGAGGGGAGAGUGAAAAAUGUCUAACUGCUCGCUCUUUCCCUGUGAAUCGAAGUGACCCCUCCCCCACCUUGCCCUCCCUUGCUUCCAGCCUUGUUUCCAUACUCUCACCGGGCGGAUUUGGGCUUUGAAAGGGUGAGGAGAAGAGGGGAGAGAGAGAAAGGGCUGGGCUCUGCCAGCUCCCUGCAGCAAUAUAGCAACUUGGAAAUGGCGGGGUCAAUGAAAACAGCUCGAGUAAGGACUGUGAUGGGAACUUUGCCCAAGGGAGAAGCAGAAGCAAGAUAAGUAAUCCACCAAAACAUGAGCAGAAUAGAGCCUGUCACAAAGUGGACACUCAGACACUAUUAAAGGAAUGAAUCAAUGGCUGCUGGUGGUUAUAACUCAGCUGGAGGAGGCAGAAAUGUACAGGUGUUGACUUCAGAUCACAUCAUGCCCCCAGAUUCCAUUUUCGCAUCUGCUUUUGAAGAUCCCAACCUGUGACUUAUGGCAUGUCUGAUGUGCAGUUUUGAAAGUCUUCAGGCUAGCGUGAGGAACACCAAAGGCAGGACCAUCUCAGAUCUUCAUUAUGGCAACUCAUGCAAGAAGCUGUUGAAUUAGAACCAUUUCCUAUAGAUGAGAAACCAUACAAGCAGUGGUGAGUUGCAAAUUUAAAAAUAUUCCACAGCAGAAAACAUAUGAUCUUUAUAACUCAUGUAAAUGUUGCAUGUGAUUUAGUGUAUGGAUCUGAAGAAAUAC